UACGUAGGGGGCAAGCGUUGUCCGGAUUUAUUGGGCGUAAAGAGCGUGUAGGCGGCCAGACAGGUCAGCUGUGAAAACUCGAGGCUCAACCUCGAGACGUCGGUUGAAACCGUCUGGCUAGAGUCCGGAAGAGGAGAGUGGAAUUCCCGGUGUAGCGGUGAAAUGCGCAGAUAUCGGGAAGAGCACCCGUGGCGAAGGCGGCUCUCUGGGACGGUACUGACGCUGAGACGCGAAAGCGUGGGGAGCGAACAGG
rnacentral:rRNA from 1 species